AUGGAGAUCUCGCCGUCGCCCAAAGACCACGUUGCCGCUCCGGCUAGGCUACCGCCGGUCAGGUACUACGUGCCGGACGUCUGGGAGAUAAAGACGGAGGAGCCCCCCGUCCAAGACCCAGACUCUCCGCAGUCUCCGAGCCAGAUAGGCGAUGACGUGCCGCCGCUGGUGUUCCCCGACCCCGACUCCUCCUCGCUAUCCCGCCGGACGGCGUUCGAGCGCCACCUCCCCGCCACCUACGACGAGCAGCCGGCGGAGCCGGAACCACCCGCGCGGCGGCGGCGCCCAGAGGACGAAGACCCAGACCUGUACUGCUGCCUCGAAGACCCCAACGACCCCGAGUGCGUGCGCCGGAGCCACGAGUUCCAGAGCAAACGGUACGCCGUGCACGCGCUGCGGGGCUACAACGCCGACCCCGGCAACGGCGUCAAGUACGAGCUGGUCGAGGGCAGCGCCAGGAGCAACAGCAUCCUGCUCGACUGCGCCGAGAUCCUCGGCCACGUGGUCUUCACCGCCAGGCCUGCCGCCGCCGGCGGUGGACGGGAUCGGACCUUCUUCGCCGAGGUUCGCAUGCCGGACCAUGCCCUCGCCUGCAUGAUUUAG
rnacentral:rRNA from 1 species